rnacentral:misc_RNA from 1 species
UCCGUGUUAACCACGGCAGUCUCGUGUGACUAAAAGUAACACACGACAAGGGUUGCGCUCGUUACCCCACUGAAGGGAACAGCUCACGCCACGAGCUGACGACAACCGUGCAGCACCUGUUCAGCACCCUCGAAGGCUACCGACGUUUCUGCCGGUAUGCAGCUGAAUUUCUAGCCCUGGUAAGGUUCCUCGCUUACCAUCGAAUUAAACCACACGCUCCACCGCUUGUGCGGGCCCCCGUCUAUUCCUUUGAGUUUUAGCCUUGCGGCCGUACUACCCAGGCGGUCAACUUAACGCGUUAGCUACGACACUGAAAGGGUCGAUACUCCCAAUGCCUAGUUGACAUCGUUUACGGCGUGGACUA